GGGCGAAUGGCGGAAUUGGCAGACGCGCUGGCUUCAGGAGCCAGUGUCCGCAAGGAUAUGAGGGUUCGAGUCCCUCUUCGCCCACCA
rnacentral:tRNA from 1 species